AUAAGGCUUUCAUGGACUCUACUUCCCCCCACUCUGGUUUUUAGGAAAGGAGACGAAUGCCACAAGAACCACGAAGCCUGCACUGAGCGCGAUGACCACCCCUAGUUCCAAGGGCCUCCUUUAGCACCUGCCUGACUGUCCCAGUCCUACCGCAGCGUCAAAGCAGGACCAAAGAUAGGCGGCAGCUGUAUUAUAUUUUAAAGACUUUAAGUACCCUUUGUUGCUAAAUCAGGUUUAAAGGACUGCAUAAAUAGGACCAUUUUACAUUCAAAUUAAACUAGGUCUCAGAAGCAGAUUUAUCCUAAGAUAAAAACAUUGGAAGGACCAGCAAGGGGACACCCACUAGGACACCCAUUCAACAUUUCUAGAAAAUACGUCUGUGAGUGCUUUCCUGAAGUAAUGAUAAAAGAGGACUAUAAUAUAAUUACAUUUUACAGGAACUCUAUAGGUCAGAAAAAUCAAGAAACUGAAUGAAAUAUAUCCAAAAAGAUACUGCUUUACCUAUAAAAAUUUUUUAAGACUAAUCUCAAGUCAACACAUCACAAUGUGUACAUUCAAAGGGGAAUGUUGUUUUGAUG
rnacentral:lncRNA from 1 species